GCAGUGAUGCGUUCCCCCCAACAGUCUGCAUUUUUCGCCCUCCCACCUUCUCUUUAGCCGCCCUUUUUGUGUCAGCGUCCAUCCAGCUCACGUACUUCAGGCUGUCCUCAAACGCGCUUUUGAUGUCUCCGACCAUGUUCUCGGCCUGCGGACCGAACAAAAGGGGACGGUGGCCUUGACGAACAUGGCGCCCAGAGCGAAUCCCAGGCCGCUGUCUGUGUCACUGACGCACAGUUUCCAGCGAGGAGUGCAGCUCUGCAACGUCGAAACAGCAGAAGGUCAGAUAAUUGGUCCGACACUUUCUGGAGGUACUCUUUGGCGUAGACGACCACCGGCUCUGCCUCGGUGAGCGGCACAGGAGCGAACACCUCGUUGAGGUAAGGUAUCCAGUCCACUGCAGGAGCCAGACUCUGCACACAAAAAGCUCAAGUUCAACAAUAUCCCAUAUUUAGGCUUUGUUCCUGUUUACAUAUAUCAGAUCAUAUAUAAAUUAUGUACAUGUAUUUAACUUUUGUACGGAGAUACCAGCCAUAAAGAAAACAUUUUAGCAAGGUCGCCUUCAAACCAUCAUGUCAUCAACCUGUAGUUAUGCUCGUUAGCACAGCAUACACAGGAAGUCCGCCUACCUGUUUUCCAGGUCUGGUCAAGUGUGGUUCCACUUAUAGCAGGUAGAAAGUAAACAAUUAACCUGUUUGAGCGUCACGAUCAUUCAAUGGGCAUUGUACUGCUCAUUCUGGUGUGCACAUCUUGGCCACAAUGGGGCAGUAUAAUACACACUACGCAUUGGUUCCACAUAUAGCAGAUAGAAUGUAAACAAUUAACCUGUUUGAGCGUCACGAUCAUUCAAUGGGAAUUGUACUGCUCAUUCUGGUGUGCACAUCUUGGCCACAAUGGGGCAGUAUAAUACACACUACGCAUAGAUUUGAUGAUAAAACACGCAAGAAGACUGUGCAACUGAACCGCAAUAAUAUUCGCAGUUUUUUUGGUGCAUGCUGUCGGCAUGUGUUGCUACCGCUAUUGUUCAAAUAUAAGUUAUUUAAAGGUUUACAAUUACCAUGACAUGCAUGCUAGUUUUGCUAUCCUAACUAGCUCUAACUUACCUUCAGGUCUUUGGCCUCCAUCUUAUGGUAGAUGAGCUCCUCGUCCCGUCUCUCCUCCACAGGCACCGUGAUGUUGGCCAGGGCCGUUUCAAAGUCCACAAUCUCCCCCAUGAGCAGGCGAGACGUCUUCUCGGAGCCCCCCAGCAGGACCCCUAACUCCACCAGGAAGUUCUGGUAUGCGGUCAGAUACUGCAACGAGGAUAAAGCAAUGAGAGUGUGUGCAGAAAAAUAAAUAAAUAAAUUAGAACGGUAAUCCUCAACUAUGCAAACAGAAGCUCCAGUGGCUUCCGUCAAGGGUGGGCUGGAGUCUAUCUAGAGAAAUAAUGUUUUUACUAAGACAAAUAGCACUCAUUAUUGUCCUUUAUGACAACACACAAUAAUGAAAUAAACAGAAUGUAAAUAAAUUAACCAGUUUUUGGCAUAUUGUUUUGCUUCAAUUCAACAUAUUCUCUCUGGUGUGUGUGCGCCUUGGCCACCAGGAGGCAGUAUAAUACAUCCAUACGAAUACAUGGAGAAGGUCUCAGCUCCUCAUCAUGCUGCAGUAAUAUUAGUCAUUCUUUGCGGAGGACAAAUAAUAUAUGCCUAUGAGUAUUAUAUUAUCUGUCUAUGUCUUGCUCUGCCGUUUGUGUUCAAAUAUCUGUUAUUUAACACUGCGACACCGAUGCUAUUCGUUAGCCUCUCUAUGGCGUUUUGCAUUUGUUUGUUGGCAUUAAGCUAAGCGGACUUUAGGCAAAGCUUUGUGGUUGUUCUAAAUACACAAAACGAAUUUGCUUUGUAUUACAGUAAACUUU